rnacentral:rRNA from 1 species
CUUGGUCAUUUAGAGGAAGUAAAAGUCGUAACAAGGUUUCCGUAGGUGAACCUGCGGAAGGAUCAUUAUUGAAUAAACCUGAUGUGAUUGUUAGCUGGCUUUUCGAAGCAUGUGCUCGUCUGUCAUAUUUAUCUCUCCACCUGUGCACAUUUUGUAGUCUUGGAUACCUCUCGAGGAAACUCGGAUUUUAGGAUCGCUGUGCUGUACAAGUCGGCUUUUCUUUCAUUUCCAAGACUAUGUUUUUAUAUACACCAAAGUAUGUUUAUAGAAUGUCAUCAAUGGGAACUUGUUUCCUAUAAAAUUAUACAACUUUCAGCAACGGAUCUCUUGGCUCUCGCAUCGAUGAAGAACGCAGCGAAAUGCGAUAAGUAAUGUGAAUUGCAGAAUUCAGUGAAUCAUCGAAUCUUUGAACGCACCUUGCGCUCCUUGGUAUUCCGAGGAGCAUGCCUGUUUGAGUGUCAUUAAAUUCUCAACCUUCCAACUUUUAUUAGCUUGGUUAGGCUUGGAUGUGGGGGUUGCGGGCUUCAAUAAUGAGGUCGGCUCUCCUUAAAUGCAUUAGUGGAACUUUUGUGGACCGUCUAUUGGUGUGAUAAUUAUCUACGCCGUGGAUGUGAAGCAGCUUUAUGAAGUUCUGCUUCUAACCGUCCAUUGACUUGGACAAUUUUUGACAAUUUGACCUCAAAUCAGGUAGGACUACCCGCUGAACUUAAGCAUAUCAAUAAGCGGAGGA